UGCCCUUCUUGUCUGUAUAACUCGAUCGGAAGAUGACGCUAUGGCUGGGCAUCACCCCCUCUCUCAUCAACUAAAACAAUCAAUCAGCUUAUUAGAAACACAUAAAAAUAAUAAUUCAAUAACUUGUAAACUAAAAGAUCAGAAUUUAUUACCUCUCUAUGCACACGAGUGAUCAUAGACUCACAAUCGAAAGUGUGCGUGUACUCUUCAGUAGCCC
rnacentral:lncRNA from 1 species